GUCUAUGCAUUUCAGUUUUUUAGUGAAUUAAUUUACAUUUUAUAUUGUACGUUGUGUGAAGUCUUUAUUGUACAAAAAUUCUCCCAGUGAAUCUUUUAAUUUGUAAGAGUUGAACCAAAACUUGUAUGCAUCUCUAUGAAGAUUAGUUACAUACUUCAAAACAGUCUGUGUGUUCUUGCUAAGGUGUAUGAGUGAGUUGCCUUUCACUAGUGAGACUUGUAAGACUACAAGAGCGAUAUGUACUGCACAUGCUAGGGACACCACCACACGCUAAACAGAAGCAUUCUGCAAUUAGAAAAUUCUCUUUGAACCAUUUUGUGGAACCACUUUGUAUAACUCUACCUGUUCAAAUUCAGUUUCUUUUUAUAUAAAACAGUACUCCUAUCAAAAAUUGUAGCUCAAAAAAUAAUUAAGUUUUAGUUUUGUGUUAAAAAAAUGAGAUAAAGUAUAGGAUGUUUUAUCUGUGUGUUUUUGGUUAUUUGGGCACCAUUAGUUCAAAAAAAAAAAAAAAAAAAAAAAAAGGAAGGAAGAGAGAGAAAGAGACCAGGCAUGCCCAAAGCUUUGACUAUUUACAGCAGAGUAGAACAUCUUGCAGAGGGGGUCUAUUUGCUAUCACCUCUGACAGGACAACCCAGGCUGCUGAUUAAGUGCAGAUACACCAGACCUUGUUCUCAAGAAGGACAACGCAGCUGCCACUGGAAGACCAGUGCCCUGUGCGAGCUCGCACUGUAGCUUCCCUCACACCAGGGAUAUGUCGCCAGCUAAGGAAAACCUCAUGCACUUUCGGUUCCCUUUUUCUUCUUCAUUUUAAAAGAAGGAUAUUAUUUUUUGACUGCUUUUAAAAUCUUAACAGGGGGACAUGCAAAAACAAUCAUCAUCCACUUGGAUGUCAUUUUAUAAAUUAACACUGUGUGCUUUUGUAUGGAAAAAUAUAUAAUUUAAUAGUAUAAGAAAAGAUAUAUAUUCACUUGCAUUCAUGCAGAACACAAGCUUUGCUGUACAAAAUGUUGUGUUUCUUAGUGAUUUUAAAAGGCAUGCUUUGCAUGCAAAGGAAAACCAUUGCAGUUAGUCUUUUCUCAUACCUGUAUCUUGGGUUUUAUAAACUGCUGGUUUGAGUUUUAUUACUCUUAAGCCACAGUACAUGUCUGAAUAUCUUAGGCCCAUUAGACCCAACUGGUUUUAUUGACAAGGGUUCCCAAACAAUGGAUGUUUGUCUGAUUCUUCCACAUUUGCAGGGAUCACAUUUGGAUGCGUGUGCAAGCUGUGCUGUAGCUAGUUCAGGUACUGAAUCUUUAGGACUUGCUGGAGUUCAUUGCAUUGGUCUAUUUUGGCAGGUACGGGUUACUCAACGCAUUUACUGUUCUCCUCACGGUAUCCAAUUGGUUCUAUUCUUUUGUAUGACUCCAAGAGGUUAAGUUACACGUUCCUCCGAUGCUUGUGAUCCUGUGCGUUCUGCUGCUUCCGUAGUGUCACUGAAUCUUCCCUGAGCUCUCAUACUCAGUCUCUCUCACUUCUCUUUCCUCCUCCUGGUCCUCUUGCUUCCCUCCAGCCUCCUUUAGAACUCAUUUUCCUUUAGAGUAAUACCACCCUUAACCAGCAGUUUAACUCCCCGCUCCCUCAAACGGGACUCAUUUGUCUCACUAAUGCUUAUACAUGUAUUACUGUAAUAAAGUAAGUUUUUUUAAUG
rnacentral:lncRNA from 1 species